ACCAUUAGAAAGACAAGCUUUGCUUCUUACUUGAUUUCCCAUGUAGCCAAUAACUAUGAAUCAAACAUGGGUUGCUGUUUAAUAAGUUGACAAGCAUUGACAACAUUAAAAUUUUCUUAAAAUAAAUCACAAAUAUCUAAAUCAAAAUAACAAUUU